CUGAGUCACUGUUGCUUCCUGGGAGGGAGAGGGGCAAGAUGGUGAGGGGGUUGGCGCAUUGCAAAAGUACCAGCAGGAGUGCCAGAUUGGCUCUGCUGGUGCAUUUGCACUGCGCCAGCUUCCCUGCCGUCUACCCCUCCCCAUCUCCUUCCUGGUAAGCAACAGAGACUCA